UUAAGCGACUAAGCGUACACGGUGGAUGCCUAGGCAGUCAGAGGCGAUGAAGGGCGUGCUAAUCUGCGAAAAGCGUCGGUAAGCUGAUAUGAAGCGUUAUAACCGACGAUACCCGAAUGGGGAAACCCAGUGCAAUACGUUGCACUAUCGUUAGAUGAAUACAUAGUCUAACGAGGCGAACCGGGGGAACUGAAACAUCUAAGUACCCCGAGGAAAAGAAAUCAACCGAGAUUCCCCCAGUAGCGGCGAGCGAACGGGGAGGAGCCCAGAGUCUGAAUCAGUUUGUGUGUUAGUGGAAGCGUCUGGAAAGUCGCACGGUACAGGGUGAUAGUCCCGUACACCAAAAUGCACAGGCUGUGAACUCGAUGAGUAGGGCGGGACACGUGACAUCCUGUCUGAAUAUGGGGGGACCAUCCUCCAAGGCUAAAUACUCCUGACUGACCGAUAGUGAACCAGUACCGUGAGGGAAAAGGCGAAAAGAACCCCGGCGAGGGGAGUGAAACUAGAACCUGAAACCGUGUACGUACAAGCAGUGGGAGCACCUUCGUGGUGUGACUGCGUACCUUUUGUAUAAUGGGUCAGCGACUUAUAUUUUGUAGCAAGGUUAACCGAAUAGGGGAGCCGUAGGGAAACCGAGUCUUAACUGGGCGUCUAGUUGCAAGGUAUAGACCCGAAACCCGGUGAUCUAGCCAUGGGCAGGUUGAAGGUUGGGUAACACUAACUGGAGGACCGAACCGACUAAUGUUGAAAAAUUAGCGGAUGGACUUGUGGCUGGGGGUGAAAGGCCAAUCAAACCGGGAGAUAGCUGGUUCUCCCCGAAAGCUAUUUUAGGUAGCGCCUCGUGAACUCAUCUUCGGGGGUAGAGCACUGUUUCGGCUAGGGGGCCAUCCCGGCUUACCAAACCGAUGCAAACUCCGAAUACCGAAGAAUGUUAUCACGGGAGACACACGGCGGGUGCUAACGUCCGUCGUGAAGAGGGAAACAACCCAGACCGCCAGCUAAGGUCCCAAAGUCAUGGUUAAGUGGGAAACGAUGUGGGAAGGCACAGACAGCCAGGAUGUUGGCUUAGAAGCAGCCAUCAUUUAAAGAAAGCGUAAUAGCUCACUGGUCGAGUCGGCCUGCGCGGAAGAUGUAACGGGGCUAAACCAUGCACCGAAGCUGCGGCAGCGACACUUAGGUGUUGUUGGGUAGGGGAGCGUUCUGUAAGCCGUUGAAGGUGACCUGUGAGGGUUGCUGGAGGUAUCAGAAGUGCGAAUGCUGACAUAAGUAACGAUAAUGCGGGUGAAAAACCCGCACGCCGGAAGACCAAGGGUUCCUGUCCAACGUUAAUCGGGGCAGGGUGAGUCGACCCCUAAGGCGAGGCUGAAAAGCGUAGUCGAUGGGAAACAGGUUAAUAUUCCUGUACUUGGUGUUACUGCGAAGGGGGGACGGAGAAGGCUAGGCUGGCCGGGCGACGGUUGUCCCGGUUUAAGCGUGUAGGGGGAGUGACCAGGUAAAUCCGGUUGCUUAUCAACCCUGAGGCGUGAUGACGAUGCACCACGGUGCAGAAGCAGUUGAUGCCAUGCUUCCAGGAAAAGCCUCUAAGCAUCAGGUAACAUUAAAUCGUACCCCAAACCGACACAGGUGGUCAGGUAGAGAAUACUCAGGCGCUUGAGAGAACUCGGGUGAAGGAACUAGGCAAAAUGGUGCCGUAACUUCGGGAGAAGGCACGCUGGCGUUAGGUGAAAGGACUAGCUCCUGGAGCUGAAGCCAGUCGCAGAUACCAGCUGGCUGCAACUGUUUAAUAAAAACACAGCACUGUGCAAAGACGAAAGUGGACGUAUACGGUGUGACGCCUGCCCGGUGCUGGAAGGUUAAUUGAUGGGGUCAGCCGCAAGGCGAAGCUCUUGAUCGAAGCCCCAGUAAACGGCGGCCGUAACUAUAACGGUCCUAAGGUAGCGAAAUUCCUUGUCGGGUAAGUUCCGACCUGCACGAAUGGCGUAAUGAUGGCCAGGCUGUCUCCACCCGAGACUCAGUGAAAUUGAACUCGCUGUGAAGAUGCAGUGUACCCGCGGCAAGACGGAAAGACCCCGUGAACCUUUACUAUAGCUUGACACUGAACAUUGAGCCUUGAUGUGUAGGAUAGGUGGGAGGCCUUGAAGUGUGGACGCCAGUCUGCAUGGAGCCAACCUUGAAAUACCACCCUUUAAUGUUUGAUGUUCUAACUCGGCCCCAUGAUCUGGGGUGAGGACAGUGUCUGGUGGGUAGUUUGACUGGGGCGGUCUCCUCCCAAAGAGUAACGGAGGAGCACGAAGGUUAGCUAAUCACGGUCGGACAUCGUGAGGUUAGUGCAAAGGCAUAAGCUAGCUUGACUGCGAGAGUGACGGCUCGAGCAGGUACGAAAGUAGGUCUUAGUGAUCCGGUGGUUCUGAAUGGAAGGGCCAUCGCUCAACGGAUAAAAGGUACUCCGGGGAUAACAGGCUGAUACCGCCCAAGAGUUCAUAUCGACGGCGGUGUUUGGCACCUCGAUGUCGGCUCAUCACAUCCUGGGGCUGAAGUAGGUCCCAAGGGUAUGGCUGUUCGCCAUUUAAAGUGGUACGCGAGCUGGGUUUAGAACGUCGUGAGACAGUUCGGUCCCUAUCUGCCGUGGGCGUUGGAAGAUUGAGAGGGGCUGCUCCUAGUACGAGAGGACCGGAGUGGACGAAUCACUGGUGUUCGGGUUGUCAUGCCAAUGGCAUUGCCCGGUAGCUAAAUUCGGAAGAGAUAACCGCUGAAAGCAUCUAAGCGGGAAACUUGCCUCGAGAUGAGUCUUCCCUGGGGCUUAAAGCCCCCUGAAGGAACGUUAAAGACUAUGACGUUGAUAGGCUGGGUGUGUAAGUGCAGCGAUGUAUUGAGCUAACCAGUACUAAUGAUCCGUGAGGCUUAACCUU
rnacentral:rRNA from 1 species